UAACUGUCUCGACGUCCCGUUAGGAAAAAAGGCUUAUCCCGUUUCCCAAUAUGCAAUUUUAGCCGAAUCGUGACGCAAAACACGGCUUGUCUCGAAUCCCGCUAAAAUAAGGGUGUCUAUCCCGAAUCCCGACAGUUAUUUUCGGCCCAUCCCAGUGUCCCGAAAAUACCCGUUCUCCCCCUCAUAAAUAGUAGACCAUAUUGUCACAUUGAUGUUUUCUUUCAUUACAGUUAGACUUCGAGAUCUACAUUUUCGACAAAGGCCUGGUGUAUAAAUAUUACGUACUUGAUGAAGGUUUAAUGACACGAAUGAGUACAAGUACAUUACAUAUUUUCGACGAAGGCCUUCUGUAAUUUCACACGCUUCUUACGCAACAUUCAAUAGAUUUAUUUACUGUAUUAUCAUUUCGACCAAGGCGAAUCGACACUUCAAUUACACAAGCACAAUCAAACUUAGUCAUUCCAGUCAGUUACUGAAGCACAGCGAAAACUGUCUGAAUUAGUGCUGCUGAUGGCAUGUAAUUACUCUACUACCACUACCAGUGACAGUCAAUGUCCAUAUAUUUUCAAGUGUGCGAAAUUAGUACUCGUCUACUUCUUAGUGUUAUUUGAAUGCAAUGUAUGUUAUAAAAAUAUUUUUUCAACACUAUAUCAACCUUCUCAUUCCUGUCAGUUUCUGAAAAUCAGCUAAAGCAAUCGCUACCAAUGCAGCUGAUAACAGCAAUUCUUUUUGUUCCCAAUGCCCAUCCAUGACAAUAUAUUUCACGCAUGUGACAAUCGUGUAAUCAUCCUGUUUUUUGUGUUCUAUUCAUGCAAUAAAUAAAUUCAGUAUUUUCAAAUCAUUGGUGCUACAAAAUUAUUCUCAUUAUAGAUUAUUCAUAUUUUAUAAAAUGCUGUCAUGUCAAAUUUUGUGUCCUAUAAAUCAUUAUGAAGUCGGCAUUUUAUAUACAACUUUUGUACUCCUCCUAAAUAAACAUACAAAUCUUGUUUUAUGUAAACUUUGUAUAUGUGACCCGUCACAGCAAAACCAGGCGCAUGUCGCUCUGAGCUUGGCAGGUUGAGACGGACUGUUUGUUCAUUUAUCUAUUGUCUGCCUUUUGUAAAAUAUGAGCACAUCAAUUUCUUCCAUUAUCUCCUGGUGUCAUUUAGGCUCAUCUUCUGUGCGACAUGUACCUGGUUUUGCUGUGACGGGUCACAUAUUCUAUAGAUAUACAACACUCUAAUGUCACAAUGCCUCUCUCACUCGCUUUUAUAUAGCAGGAUGUAUGAAUAAACAUGACACACCAACUAUGUACAAAAUUGCUAACAAACUGCACCAUUUGUCAGUACACCACAUGAAAUACAGAGAUAUGUCUUAAUUUUAAUCUUUCAUUAGCGACACCAUUUCUUACCCGUGUGCCUCCUUCAUUCAUACAUCUUGUACUUUAACUCAAGAUACCCAUCUUUGAAUAUUUUUAGUAUACCAAGUACUACAAUGUCAAUGUAUUGAAGUCAUGUUCUUGUAGUGUUAUUGGCUUUCUAUUAUCUUGUCAAAAUACCACUUGGUUCUCGCAAAAUCUCAAUAAAAACAAAUGCUAUUGCAUGUAUUGCAUAUUCUAACAGCUAUCCACUGUAUCGAUUUAUCCAUCAUCUGUACUAUUUGUCACAAAAAUGUUAUAUUAUGUAAAUCAUAUUUCAUUACAUAAUGCACACUGCCAAUUAC